rnacentral:ribozyme from 13 species
UUUAUUUUUUUGUUUUUUUUUUUCUCUCUCUCUCAUCAAAGGCUGCAAAACAGCGGUGUGUUGCCAGAAUAACAAAGAAACAAAUCAAGGAGAAGAGGUUUGAUCUGUUCUCUUUUGGUCUGUGUUUUUCUCGAAUUAAU